AAAAUCUUACAACAGCCAUUACAUUUGGCAAGCACUAAGAACAAACUACAUAAAAUACAGAAUAGACAGCACAUCAGAAAGUAAUAAGUGCAGAAUCUUUGGACAAAAUGAUGAAACUGUAUGGCAUAUUACCAGCCAAUGUAUGCCACUAGCCCAGAAGGAAUAUAAGAGAUGUCACAACAAUAUAGCCAGGAUUGUCCAUUGGACACUUUGCAACAAGUAUGAA